rnacentral:lncRNA from 1 species
CGCGAUCCUCGCCCUCUGCAAAGCAUAGACGGCACAGUAGGGCACACCAAAGCAAAAGUAGUAGCCGGCCGGCCAGCCAGCUAGCUCCCCUGCGCCUCCACACUUCUCUGCGCCGCCGGCAGAGACCUCCUGCCGCUAAUACCCACACCCACACGGCCGCCGCCGGCCGGCCGGCUACACGUCCGUCGUCGUGCGCACAGCAGGUGCCCCUUGAUCAUCUUGCUGCUUCUUGCAUGCACUAGGCUAGCUCACCUCAGCCCCGGCGGAGGAGACGAUCGAUCGAUCCCCUCCGAUCCUGCCCCCUGCUGCACCUUGCUAGCGAAUUCCACCCGUGCGCAACGCUCAGUUUUCAUCCCACGUCCAGCUAGGCACAGCUGCCGAUCGAUGGCUCCCGCCGCCGCCCGGGCGGCACCGAAGAAGAAGACGAAGACGUUCGUGCAGAAGCGCGGGCAGGUAUUCAAGAGGGUGCUGGGGAGCCUCUUCUCCUGGCUGCCGCGCUGCAGGCUGCAGCAGCUGUUCCGCAAGAACCGCGCCCCUCGCGGACGCCGCGGCAACCGCGUCCCGGCCAACGGAGGCCACGUCGAGCCGGAGCCCGACGUCGCCAACAACACUAGCUACUCCGCCACACGCGCAACCCUGAACGCACACCCAGCAGUACUAGGUCAGUGAUGUUAAAUUUCUGUACGUGCGUGCGUACGUGCGCUGCUCGGUCGUCGGUCGGUUUUCCCCAGGUUUUCAGUUUUCUCUAGGUCCACACGCGUUCUUCCUAGCUAAUUCAUAUCUUGACGCGCGACCAUUUCUUAAUUUCUCAGGCCGGGUGAAUUCCAUCCUCUAGCUACGGAAAGAAAAGAAUUCUCCGGGUCCUCGUCAAGCAAGUACACGGCCACAACGACGACGACGACGGAGGGAGUCAACGCGUGUCUCAACUUAAUUAUGGAUAUAUCAGAACCGGAGAGCUAGCACAUGAGACGGCGGGGUUGCUGUGCCUGCUGCGAUAUAUAUGCGCAUGCCUCUCCUGUGUACAAGUCAACUUAUUAUUGUUUCGUUUUUUUAUGGGUUAUUUAUUGCUUCAUUAUUAUUGUAUCUUCGUAUCACUGGAUUUGCAUGGUAGAUUUGGAUUACUACUGCGUGUAGGCGGAUCGUGGUCGUCGUCGUCCUUAUUGUACGCGUCCUGUGUGUGUUCUGGUCUCGGCUAAAUUAAAGUGUUCAUUCGUCGUUGAUGGAUGGACGCAGCAUGUUCCUGUGUUCCGUCACGAUCUAGUUGGUAUUUAAGCUGUCAUCAGGUGUUAUAUUCAGUCAGUACGUACGGUAAACUGAUUGAUUGACAAGAAUAAAAGAUGGUCAAAUUAAAUAUGUGUGCUUCACCCAAUUCAAUGUAAGUGUCUCAGCAAACAGACUGAAAUGACUUGAUUCGUUUUUUGUACAG